CUUAAUUAGAGUGAUUACUCGAAUGGCUUAUCCUCUCCCUUCUAAUUUUUCACAACACCUCUCACUCUCCUCAGCCAUGGCAGAAUCAAAUAAUCUGGAAGUCGUCAAUCAGCCGGAGGACUCUUACUCAGUAUGGGCCUUACCGCCGCCGGACUUCAAGCACCGCCUCAAAUCCCUAAUGUCCUCCCUCCGCUCGGAGUUCGCCGGCCCCAUCUUCGAUCCCCACAUCACCGUCGUCGGCGACCUUCCCCUCCGUCGCGAAGACGCCAUCGCUCGCUUCCACUCCGCCGCGGCUUCCGUCAAACCCUUCACCGCCCGCAUCGCCGACAUCGCUUACGGAACCUUCUUCUAUCAGUGCGUGUAUCUUCUCAUUGAUCCAUCCCCUGAGGUGGUGGAAACCAGCGCCCACUGUUGCGGCCAUUUCGGUUACAAUAGAUCGACUCCUUAUAUGCCACAUAUGAGUCUCAUCUAUGGGGAUCUGAGCGAGGAGAAGAAGGAGAGAGCGCGGACACGAGCGAUGGAGAUUGAUGAAAGUAUCUGCGGACUCGGCUUCGAAGUGUCGUUGCUGGCUCUCUGCAAGACUGAUACGCGAGACAGGACGACUGAAUCGUGGGAGAUUGUUGAGCUCUGCGACCUUAAGAAGGAGGAUUUUGCUUAGCGCUGCUGGGGAGAAACAGUGAGUUCUAUUAGUGGCUGAAAUGCAUCAUGAUAGAGAAUUGGGUGAAGUGAUGAACAUUGGUUAUGACCUGAAUGUGCAUGCAAUUAUUGGGGAAAAAACUGAAGGUGAUAUGAUUUGACAUACAGUUGUUAUAAAUAUGUGAGAAUCAUGUGAUCAUGAACAAAGAUGAUGCAAUGGCUGAUAAUUUUAUUUUAUUUAUUAUCUCAAUGUAUCUGUGUCACAUUAGAAUUAGUUUUUUAGUUAGUAAUUUUGUAUCAGCGUUUUCGAAAAGCCAUAUAUUGAAUGUUUUCACAAUAAAAAUUUUCAAACAUCGUAAGAUAUUGUUGCAAUCUUUAUUAA